UAGUAGCAUUGUCCCUUCUCUCUUUUUCUCUCCUUUUUUUUGUUUGGGCUCUUCGGCCUCUUUUCAUUUUUUUGGGUGGCCAUAUUUGGCCUUUUUUUUAUUUCCUCACAUGGGACAAUGCUCUAAUAAUGAUGAUCAUCACACUUUUAUUUACUCACAACUCAAUACUUAGAGCAAUGAUGACUCUAUAUGAAAUGCCUCCAGCAGUGUACCGGGAUGUGCAACGAUCUAGCUUAGCGUAUGACGUUAAAACAUCUCGCUAGCUAUCUUAUGAUCAUGCAAUGGCAACAUGAAAGUGACGGCACAUGUCAUGAGACGGAACGGUGGGAGUUGCAUGGCAAUAUAUCUCGGAAUGGCUAUUUAAAUGCCAUAAUAGGUAGGUAUGGUGGCUGUUUUGAGGAAGGUAUAUGCUGGGUUUGUGCACCGGUGAAAGUUGCGCGGUACUAGAGAGACUAGCAAUGGUGGAAGGUGAAAGUGCAUCUAUACCAUGGACUCACAUUAGUCAUGAAGAACUCAUAUACUUAUUGUGAAAGUUUUUAUUAGUAAUCGAAACAAAGUGCUAAACGUAUACUCCUAGGGGAAGGGUUGGUAGGUGUUAACCAUCGCGCGAUCCC
rnacentral:lncRNA from 1 species